GAUGAACGCUGGCGGCGUGCCUAAUACAUGCCAGUCGAGCGAACGGACGAGAAGCUUGCUUCUCUGAUGUUAGCGGCGGACGGGUGAGUAACACGUGGAUAACCUACCUAUAAGACUGGGAUAACUUCGGGAAACCGGAGCUAAUACCGGAUAAUAUUUUGAACCGCAUGGUUCAAAAGUGAAAGACGGUCUUGCUGUCACUUAUAGAUGGAUCCGCGCUGCAUUAGCUAGUUGGUAAGGUAACGGCUUACCAAGGCAACGAUGCAUAGCCGACCUGAGAGGGUGAUCGGCCACACUGGAACUGAGACACGGUCCAGACUACUAAGGGAGGCAGCAGUAGGGAAUCGGCCGCAAUGGGCGAAAGCCUGACGGAGCAACGCCGCGUGAGUGAUGAAGGUCUUCGGAUCGUAAAACUCUGUUAUUAGGGAAGAACAUAUGUGUAAGUAACUGUGCACAUCUUGACGGUACCUAAUCAGAAAGCCACGGCUAACUACGUG
rnacentral:rRNA from 1 species